rnacentral:rRNA from 1 species
AUAGAUUAUUACCGGUAGUAAUUCAAAAUAAAACCACUAAAAAUUGGCGGUUACAAACCUAUUAAAGAAACUCGUUUUAUAAUCGAUAACACUCGAUAAAUUUAGCUUUUUAUUAAAGUUUAUAUACCGCCGUUAAAGAGAUAGCAUAAAUAUAAACCUCUAAACUAAUAAAUUUUACAAAAAUCAGGUCAAGGUGUAACAUAUAAAAAAGAAAAAAUAAGUUACACAUAAAUAUAAUUUAAGGAAUUAAAUUUUUAAAAAAAAAAGAAAAAGAAUUUAAAAAUAAUUUAAAAUUAAAAAAUUUUUAAGAAAAUUAAAAUUGUAACGC